UAGUGGCGGACGGGUGAGUAACGCGUGGGAAUCUGCCCUCAGGAGGGGAUAACGGUUGGAAACGACCGCUAAUACCCCAUAUGCCGAGAGGUGAAACGAAAUUCGCCUGAGGAUGAGCCCGCGUCUGAUUAGCUAGUUGGUGGGGUAAAAGCCUACCAAGGCAUCGAUCAGUAGCUGGUCUGAGAGGAUGAUCAGCCACACUGGGACUGAGACACGGCCCAGACUCCUACGGGAGGCAGCAGUGGGGAAUUUUCCGCAAUGGGCGCAAGCCUGACGGAGCAACGCCGCGUGAGGGAUGAAGGCCUCUGGGCUGUAAACCUCUUUUCUCAAGGAAGAAGAACUGACGGUACUUGAGGAAUAAGCCACGGCUAA
rnacentral:rRNA from 1 species